ACGAACGCUGGCGGCAUGCCUAACACAUGCAAGUCGAACGAAGUCUUCGGACUUAGUGGCGCACGGGUGCGUAACGCGUGGGAAUCUGCCCUUAGGUACGGAAUAACUCAUGGAAACGUGUGCUAAUACCGUAUGAUGUCUUCGGACCAAAGAUUUAUCGCCUAGGGAUGAGCCCGCGUUGGAUUAGCUAGUUGGUGGGGUAAAGGCCUACCAAGGCGACGAUCCAUAGCUGGUCUGAGAGGAUGAUCAGCCACACUGGGACUGAGACACGGCCCAGACUCCUACGGGAGGCAGCAGUGGGGAAUAUUGGACAAUGGGCGCAAGCCUGAUCCAGCCAUGCCGCGUGAGUGAUGAAGGUCUUAGGAUUGUAAAGCUCCUUCACCGAUGAAGAUAAUGACGGUAGUCGGAGAAGAAGCCCCGGCUAACUUCGU
rnacentral:rRNA from 1 species